GCUUUAUGAGUAUCUCGGUACAACUGCCUUCCAAGCAAUAAGAUUGAUUAACAUCAAAUAAAGUA
rnacentral:tRNA from 1 species